GGUGGUGCAUGCCUGUAGUCCCAGCACUUGGGAUCUCUCUGCGCCGGUUCCAUUCUUCGUGACGCACGCUUCCCCCUCCUCUCCACCGCGCCCGGGGCCUCUACACUGCCUGAUGCUGCAGUAGCGCAGGGGCAGCUGCUGCUCUUCUCUGGACUCAGGAGGCGAGGCCGUGACCGAAAUGUCCACAGAAGGAGGGUUUGGUGGUACCAGCAGGAGUGAUGCCCAGCAAAGCCUCCAGUCCUUCUGGCCUCGCGUCAUGGAAGAAAUUCGGAACUUAACAGUGAAAGAUUUCAGAGUACAGGAACUCCCACUGGCUCAUAUUAAGAUAAUGAAACUGGAUGAAGAUGUGAAGAUGAUCAGUGUGGAAGCCCCUGUGCUCUUUGCCAAGGCAGCCCAGAUUUUUGUCAUGGGGCUGACUCUUCGAGCCUGGAUCCACACAGAGGAUAACAAACGCCAUACUCUUCAGAGGAAUGAUACCACUGUGGCAAUUACAAAAUUUGAUCAGUUUGACUUUCUCAUCGAUAUUGUUCCAAGAGAUUAACUGAAACCUCCAAAGCGUCAGAAGGAAGUGAACCAGUCUGUGACUCCUGCUGAGCCCAUCCAGUACUACUUCACGCUGGCUCAGCAGCCCACUGCUGUCCAAGUCCAGGGGCAGCAGCAAGGCCAGCAGACCACCAACUCCACAACCACCAUCUAGCCUGGCCUGAUCAUCAUUGUGCAGCCCCAGCAAGGCCAGACCACACCCAUGACAAUGCAGGUUGCAGAAGGUCAGCAGGUACAGAUAGUGCAGGCCCAGCCUCAGGGUCAAGCACAACAGGCCCAGAGUGGCACUGGACAGACCAUGCAGGUGAUGCAACAGAUCAUCACUAACAAGGGAGAGAGAGAUCCAGCAGAUCCCAGUGCAGCUGAAUGCCGGCCAGCUGCAGUAUAUCUGCUUAGCCCAGCCUGUAUCAGGCACCCAAGUCGUUCAGGGACAGAUCCAGACACUUGCCACCAACGCCCAGCAGAUCACACAGACAGAAGUCCAGCAAGGACAGCAGCAGUUCAGCCAGUUCACAGACGGACAGCAGCUCUACCAGAUCCAGCAAGUCACCAUGCCUGCUGGCCAAGACCUCGCCCAGUCCAUGUUCAUCCAGUCAGCCAGCCAGCCCUCCAAAGGGCAGACCCCCCAGGUGACCGGAGAUUGAGGGCCUGAGUUGGCAAGGCCAAGGACACCCAACACAAUUUUGCCAUACAGCCCCAGGCGAUGGGGGCACAGCCUUCCUCACCAGAGGACUCGGGGACUUCAGUGCCUCCUGCAGGCUAGGGCAUUGGUGCACUAUGCCCCGUGACUAGGGACCGAGAUUCUACAACAGAAAGAUGCAAUAUUUUUUAUUUCCUUUUGUCCAUUUUUUUCUCCAAGGAAUCAAUAUUUCAAUAUAUUGAGCAUGUGUGUCCAAUGCUAUGAAAUGAGAAUAUUAAAUAACAUAAUUAUGGCAUUUUCAAGAGUAUGGUUGAAGAAAUAUUUGUCCAUUUGUGUCUCUGGUUUGGGUUCUUGCCACUUCUUUUUAGGAGCAGGUCUUUUCCUUCCUAGGGGUGCACAGGAUUUCCUGACUCUUGGAAUAGCUGCUCCCCUUGUUCCCAGAACCAGUUAGGAUCCAUUUCUACCAGCAUUCCUCUCCACUCCUCCCCAGAGCUUUGUGCAGCCAGAGGCCAUGGAAACAUUCUUUGCAUGUGGGAGAUGAACUCAGUCCGCACAGGGAGAGGUGGUUUCAUUCUAGCCCUUCUCUGUGAGAUCCAAGGAGGCUAGCACUUUGCAUUGCUCUCACCCCCUUUUAUUGUGCUAGUCUCCCUUGCUGCAUGGACUUCAAACUGCAUGAAAUGCAAUAAAUCUUGU